AAUCUCAUAAACUCAGUGGAUAGAGCAUGAGACUCUUAAUCUCAGGGUUGUGGGUUUGAGCCCUAGAAAGAUUC